rnacentral:rRNA from 1 species
UUUACGGAGAGUUUGAUCCUGGCUCAGGACGAACGCUGGCGGCACGCCUAAUACAUGCAAGUCGAGCGCGUGAAGCUU